GGUAACGAGAAAUACUAGAUAGUUUCCUAACGGAUGCUAUACUGGAAUGGACGUAAUUUAAGAAAUUCGAUGAGUAACAACUGGAGGGCAAGUCUGGUGCCAGCAGCCGCGGUAAUUCCAGCUCCAGUAGUGUAUCUUAAAGUUGCUGCGUUUAAAACGCUCGUAGUUGGAUUACGCAGCAUAAUCUAGUAGAUUUGCUCGAUGCUACACUAAAUUCAGCUAUUGGUGGUUGCUGCUAUGGUUUAUCCUGGUAGUCGCCAUCAGUGGUUGAAGUGGUACGAGCAAAUUAACAGCUAGUUUAUGCUACUUUUUCGUGAGGAUGGCAGUUGACCUUUAAUGUGUUGAUUGUCGUGUCUUACGAAGCGUGCCUUGAAUAAAUCAGAGUGCUCAAUACAGGCUUUAGCUUGAAUGUCGAUAGCAUGGAACGAACAAUUGUGUUAAAUGUGUCUUGUUCAGCUUCUAGGUUGAUUUAUAUUGGCCUAGAAAUCCUGUUCAACUCACAGCACCAACCACCAUUAUCGGAUGUUGGUUUCCGUGAUGGGGUGAUGAUUAAAAGGAGCGGUUGGGGGCAUUGGUAUUUUGCCGCGAGAGGUGAAAUUAA
rnacentral:rRNA from 1 species